rnacentral:rRNA from 1 species
AUUGAACGCUGGCGGCAUGCCUUACACAUGCAAGUCGAACGGCAGCACGGGUGCUUGCACCUGGUGGCGAGUGGCGAACGGGUGAGUAAUACAUCGGAACAUGUCCUGUAGUGGGGGAUAGCCCGGCGAAAGCCGGAUUAAUACCGCAUACGAUCUACGGAUGAAAGCGGGGAACCUUCGGGCCUCGCGCUAUAGGGUUGGCCGAUGGCUGAUUAGCUAGUUGGUGGGGUAAAGGCCUACCAAGGCGACGAUCAGUAGCUGGUCUGAGAGGACGACCAGCCACACUGGGACUGAGACACGGCCCAGACUCCUACGGGAGGCAGCAGUGGGGAAUUUUGGACAAUGGGCGAAAGCCUGAUCCAGCAAUGCCGCGUGUGUGAAGAAGGCCUUCGGGUUGUAAAGCACUUUUGUCCGGAAAGAAAUCCUUGGCCCUAAUACGGUCGGGGGAUGACGGUACCGGAAGAAUAAGCACCGGCUAACUACGUG